AGUGAACGCUGGCGGUAGGCCUAACACAUGCAAGUCGAACGGCAGCACAGUAAGAGCUUGCUCUUACGGGUGGCGAGUGGAGGACGGGUGAGGAAUACAUCGGAAUCUACUUUUUCGUGGGGGAUAACGUAGGGAAACUUACGCUAAUACCGCAUAAGACCUACGGGUGAAAGCAGGGGAUCUUCGGACCUUGCGCGAUUGAAUGAGCCGAUGUCGGAUUAGCUAGUUGGCGGGGUAAAGGCCCACCAAGGCGACGAUCCGUAGCUGGUCUGAGAGGAUGAUCAGCCACACUGGAACUGAGACACGGUCCAGACUCCUACGGGAGGCAGCAGUGGGGAAUAUUGGACAAUGGGCGCAAGCCUGAUCCAGCCAUACCGCGUGGGUGAAGAAGGCCUUCGGGUUGUAAAGCCCUUUUGUUGGGAAAGAAAAGCAGCAGGUUAAUACCCCGCUGUUCUGACGGUACCCAAAGAAUAAGCACCGGCUAACUUCGUG
rnacentral:rRNA from 1 species